UGCAUCUUUUAAGGUAUUCGUUAGUUAAUAAGUUAAAUCUAAGCUAAAUAAAAUAUAAGUUAAAAGUAGUUUUCCUCAGAGUUUUGCUGUUUAGCAUUUACUUGAUAGUUUUCUAGGAAACACUACUGCUGUGCUUCAUUACUGUUCCAGAGCAAAAGCCUCUCUCGUCGUACACCUUCUUAGCAGCUAGCAGCACUCAAUGAGUAGAACAGUCCUUUGCUUUCACCUUUUCUUAGCAUUAUCUCUCAACUUACUUAUCAAUGUGUUUUGCAGUUCAAGAAUGACCAAGACGAGUCCUGCCUUACAAGGGUCCUCAGCAACAGCCCUGCCUGCUCUGCAGCUUUCUGAACAGGUCCCGCUGACAUCUCCUUCCCUGAAGCCCCUACAAAUGGAUGAAGAAGACAGCCUGUCUCCUCAUCUCUUGUUACCGGAUAGCAUCAGCCAGCUGGAAGAGUUUGGCAGGCAGAAGAAAUGGCACAAGAAACAGCACAAACACCAUCGCCAGAGGCAGUUCAAUGACCUCUGGGUUCGGAUAGAAGACAGCACCACCACGUUGCCUUCCUAUAUCAGGAUAACCAAUGGCUACAUCACAGUCAAACCUCCCAUUUGGAUUUCCAACCGGCUGGAUCAGAGGCCACGCUCAGAUCACCCAUCCCAGCCUCAGCCUACGAGCUCAGCCUCAGCCACCAUUUUAUGGCCACCAGUGACUGCUUCUCUCUACGUGGCCAUAGCUUCAUUCCUCCUGAAUCUACUGCAGCCUUCCUGACCACAUUAGUAUUAUGUGCAAUCCCUUGGAAUAGAGAAGAGAGAUAAUUUAUGAAUGAAUUGGAUGUUUUGACAACAUUUACAGACUGGACCUUCUCAGUGAAUCAAGAGUGCCUUCUAGCUGAUUUUGUCUCUUUGCCCAGAUACAUUUUGAAACUCUAAAGCUUUAUUGUAACACUGACUUACAUCUUCUUUUUGUAGAAGGAUCUUUAUUUCCCAUAGUGCUAUGGGGUUUUGUAAAAUAUUCAUGUUCAUUUAAAGAAGAAAAAAAUGUAUUUAUUCGACUGGUAAACUUAUUUUUUUCUUGUUGUAUAUGUCAAUAACAUCCCUAGUAAUCAGUAGCGAUGGUGAAACAGAUAAAUUAAUAUUUUCUAUAUUUGUUUUUUAACUGACAACUCUGCAAAUGCCUGAAGUGGCACUGAAAUGACUGGCUUGUUUCUUUAAACAUAACUUUUUACAGCAACAGUCCAAUAAGUACAUUUGUACUCUAUUUUGCUUUUUCUAAAAUUCUCAUCAGAAUAACUUAGACUAAAUAAAGCAGAUCCCCUUAUCUGUGGCCUAUGCCCAAUAGAGGGAUAAGUGCAUUCUCAAGUCAGCUGCUACAACCUAAAAUGUCAAUUAUUUUUGUAUGACUUAGUAAGUUGUUAGCCAAGAUAACCCUCUAAGUUCCCCGGUUGUCUUUAACUCAACCAUUCAACUUCUCUAGAAAUUACCAAUCUUCCUCUUUACCUUGAGAUGAAGACAUCUUUUUCUUAAUAAAAGAUUUCAUUUUAAGUCUGCAGUAAUCCCACGGGAAUUAUCCUCUCCCUCUUUCUAUAUAUACACACGAGCCUUCAACCUUUCCCAGCAUAAAUGAGAGCAGGACUUGGUCUGUCUAUAGAGUAUGAAGAUGCAGUAUCGUGCUAAUCUGUAGAACUGCUUUAUUAACUUAACUGAUAAAAAGAUAGUCAACUGCAGGGAGGGGAGGAAAUGUCUAGAAGUCAUCAGCAUCUUGCUAUUAUGCUUAGAGUUGAAAUCCUCAUAUUGAAUUAUAAUCUGUCCACAACCUACUCAAGGCUACAGGAACCAAGGUAAUUCCUCUGUCACGUAAAACCUUUCCUCUGUUUGUAGACUAUGUCCAUCUAAGUCAACAGAAGGAUUAAGUUCUGACAACUUGCACUCAAUGAAAAAUUUGCCCAAUCUUCAAGCAGCUACUUUUCAUUAAUCAGAUGAACUACAUCUAUGGGAAAAAAAAUACAUCCAUCUUAAUAACAGCCAUGCUUAGUAAGGCAUGUUUGAUUUUUUCCCCCCCAAAAAAAACAGGAUAAAAAAAAUGACUUUCAAUGCAGAAAAUCCUAACUUUUUUUUUUAAAUAAUCUUUUUUUCCCCUGAAAUCAUCUGCAAUACAGGAAUCUGAAAUGUCAUGAAAACAUCUUGAAGAAAAAACUGAAAAUUAAAAAAAAGGAAAACACAAUGCAUCUAUGAAAAAGCAUUGCUUUUUCACCGUAAAAACCAUAUCAGAUAAUGACAGCAAUCACAAUAACACUGACAAAAAUCUGACUGUUAUUAGGCCAGCAGCAUCACUUUCAGAACUGGAGACAAUUCAUCUUGAGGUCUCCUGAGUGGAAGAUGGUUUAGGAUUCACAGUUCGUUUGUCACCAGACCAAUAAGUCAGGGAAGAAGCUUAGGAAAUAAUCAGCCUGAAAUAAGUACGUGGUUUUAUUUGGAACCAUAAUAAACACUGAGCUUUUCCACCGUGCAUCCCAACCCAUUGCUUUGCCAAGGCAAGGGAAAACACGUUACUUUCAUUUGACUUACUGCACCCCAUGACUUCCAGCUCUUGCUUUAUUUUGGAGAGGAGGACGUGUAGAUUUGUGAUCGACUUAAGUGGGUACAGCAGACAGUCAUGUACGCUGCCCCUGUUUUAUAAAGCAUAAUAGUCGAUAAGACUGAAUGGAAAACUUCAAGCUUCGCCCCAAAUAUGAGAUUCAAGCACACCCUGUGCAUACUUCUGUGUUGUGUAUUUUGGCUAGCAGAAGAUUAGAGAUGUUAGCUUUGGACAGAAGCCAUUCAUCUUGCAUAAUAUUUAUUGCACCGAGUUGGAUAUUGGAAACAUAUUUUGAGAACUUUCAUUUCAGUUUCAUUUGACUAUUUCCUCCAAAAUGGCUUCAUUUGAAUAUAAUGGCUUAACAGGCCUUCAAAUUCAACCUUAACACAUUUUAAAAGAUUAGUUCUCCUGCCAUAUUCAAAACAGAGUUCAGAACUGAAUGACAGGACGUUAGUCACAAAAAUUGAGCUGGAAAUAAGAUAGGCAAGUCUUAAGGGUGAUAAGUUACACAGUAAAAGUGAAAGCCAAUGAAUCAAAGCCCAUUGAAUUUUAUUUGCUGUAAUCUGAUCAAGUCCAGAAAUUAUUCUGUGGUACCAUCCCAGAAAUAAUUCCCAGUGUCAGAGAGCUUACAGAACUAACAGAUAAGACCAUAUGAAAAUCAGAGAGAAAAAGAAAAAUGAAGCAAAAAACAGAAACAGCAUGGCCAGGUCCAAAAGGAAAACCACCAAUAGGAUCAAGAUUGGAGCCUACAGUUCCACUGUACCCAACCUGUGGUUUUCUCUGUAGUCUUUUUUGGGUCUUUUUUUUUUUUUUUAAAGUAUAAUGAGCACACAGCCAAAGCCACACUCACAGCUGUCACUGUACCACACAGAAUAAUCACUCAGUUUGUCACUAAUAAAUAUUUCCUGAGUCACUUCUCCAUGGGACAGUAAUAACAAUACUAGAUACUAGCUCAUAUCACAGCAUGUUUGGAUAUCACAGUAUGUAAAUAGCUUGGACAUCAAAGCAUGUUGUGGCAUAUUUACUUUUCUUGACAUUUUGCCUGUAAUCUCUGUGAAAUGAAUGAAUGUUGCUGGAGGUCACCGCAUUUCACCUUUCCUUCUGCCCAGUCAUCCUGCAGUGCAGGUGUUCAAGCAAGGUAUCUGCUUGGCUUGGAGACAGCACCCUUCUGCCAGCUCACAGCAUCUAGCUCACACCAGCACCUCGGCUAGGGAAGAAGAAACCACUUGCAAUAAGUUUAAGAGAAGAUGCUUCUCACAGAUGCUAGCUCAGGAACCCCAGGUGAAUGGCUUCAGUGUAGUUUGCUGACCAAGUAUUUUUUAUUUUCUUGUCUUCCCUAAGCUAUGGCUUUGGGUAACUUUUUUUUAAUCCUUGGCAUGUAAGGAUUGCAAUACUAGAAAAUGAGACCCUCACUGUGAUUAAUAAAACAGGUUAUUUAUUAAUCAGCUACAGUAGCUCAGUAUUAAUUAAAAUACAUCAGUACUGGUGUAUCAGCACAGAUCUAUGCACAUACGUUGCAUUGGAUCAUGAUUUUAUUCCACAUAAGUUUAUAGUGUAUAUCAGAUUUGAUGUGUGUUCUGGAAGUAACACUGACUACCAGCUUCACGGGGCUUCACUUUUAUUCAGUGGAUUUCUCAGAGAGUGAGGAUCCACCUGCUUUGUCUCUUUCUAAUGAGAAACUCAGAUUUCCAAUGACAAAUUCCAGGAGAGAGGGUUUUAAAAAUAAAUAUGUCCACACUAUAUAAGACAGCAAAUACUGAUGACAGUAUUUACUUGUAACACAAUCAAGAGAGUCAUUCAAUGUCUAGCAAACAGGUACACAAUUUUCCACACUGUUGGGUCCAAAGUUGAACAUUCGCAUGAUUCAUCCUAUCAACUCAGCUGCAACUGACACUACUACAAUUCACAGUAUGUGUAGUGGUAAUAUUAGAAAGGAAUGUUGUUUUCUACCAAGCUAUUGCCCCAGUAAAUAUACCAUACCACCAGCAACAGGAAUAACUUCCCUUCUGUAAUUGUUUUAAUGUUUCUCUUGCCAAUGUUUAACUAUAGAUGCUGUAUUAACAUGCAUUGCCACUUGAAGAACCAGUCAGUAAGCUGCAGCAGAAGGUAUAUUGUAUUUUAUGACUGAUGCAGUUUCUCUGCAAUCCCUUGAGCUGUUGAAUAAUGCAAUACUUCUUCCAGAAAUAAAUUAAAUGAUUUAUGGUAACUAUGCUUUAUACAGGUGUCAAAAAUCUACUCUGUUGGACUUCCUAUUUCUCCUAUCUCCAGCAUAAUUUAGGAACACCCAAGGUACAGAGGUGUAUGUUUGUCUUCGAUAUACAACUGAGGAGAGAUAGAGGGAAAGAGCACUAUGCUCAGUGCAAUGAUUAGUAAAGUGAUAAAUCCCAAUCAGUCCUUACAUAUACCACUGUUAAAGAGGAGUUUCCCAUCAUACCUUUAAGUCAGAGAAACCAAAGUGCCAUAGUGGUUAUCACAGCUAUCACUCCUAACUUUGCUUAGUACCGCAAGACACUUCUAUUUCAUAUCCAAAAAGCAUAGAGGCUUGUUAUAUCUCCAGAGUGAUCAACGUAUCUCAGAGCAUGCAAAAUUUCAGCUUCAGCCUGUUUUGGCUUAACUGGAGCAGAAAAACCAGCUUCCUAAUUUUGAGCUCAUGGGCUUGAGUGUCUGUACGCGUGUUUGUGGGUACACGUGUGUGCUUUGUCCCAACCUAAAUGCAGACUUUCCUCCAACAAGCUCUUCAGGAGGCACCUUAAUCUAGCUAUAGCAAGAUCUCGCCAAGUAGUAACCCACACUUCUCAUUUACAGGAAUGAUUAACUGCCCUGCAGAUUCAUGCUCACACUGAAUUUUAAAUUGCAUGUUUGUCAGUUUUUGAUUCAAAUGUAUUUCAAAUAUUUUUUCCUGUUCCGCCUCCUGCUUUUGUGAACUGUUUUGAAGAGUGUAAUAAAAAGAUGCUUUCUAAUAUUAUUUUGUCAAAAUAUUUUUGUAGCAUAAUAUAUUAAUAAAAAGUUAUUAUAAAUCCGUA